AACGAUUUCACAUGACUUUUACUGUGUGUAACCGUUACAAACUGCUUUGCACUGUUUAUUUAGAUAUUUAAUUUGAUGGAAGUAUUAAUUUGUUAACUUUGUGGAUUUUCUGUUUUUGAUGCUUGAGCAUGUUAAACGAGAAAACAAUGGUGGUAUGCAACCUUCAGAUGUUUACGUGCACACUACAG